UCUCAGAGUAACAUUUAGAUCUGACAACUAAAGCUGGAGAAUUUCAAUUAAGCCACAAACAGUUCCAAGACCUACAAAUUUGCAAGUUAUCAAGUCCUGAGAUGAGAAAACUGAACCUCAGAGGGACUCCUAGUAAAUUGCUGAGCCAGAAUUUGUUUCCGGACAUCUGAUUCCAAAUAGCCCACUACAAAACCAGAUGUAUCACAAUCAGGGUCAGCAGUCACUGUUCAACUCUGAGUCCAGGAAGAAUAAUUCUUCAAGGUCACAUCACAGACAUCAGUUUCUUCCUACCACAGAGGCAUCCUCCCUCCAGUUCUACAAACAAUUUAAGAUGAAAUGCAAAGUCCACCCAACUCAUUCAUUCUGUAUAUUCUCAAAAUGUGCUGUAGGGAAAGCAGAGUACCAUACACUGAAGACUUGACUAUGGUUAAGAUUUUAACCCUCCAGCAUCCCGGCCAUGAGCUCCUUCACUCUCCUGGGUGGAGGCACUUCCCCCUGCUCUCCACAGAACCAUGGUGCACUCUGGCCUCCUGAGACAUUGUGAGCUUCCACCUGGACCACACUCGGCAACACUACAACCUGCCUUAGAGUGACUCUAAAUGCCCUAGCUCAUUUAUAACAGCUUAGCUGAGCGCCUAGUCAAGAGACAGAGUAGUAUAAAGAAUUGCUCACUGUGACCCCAGAGGAUUUCAGUUGCAAGGAUUCAUUGUUGAAUCUGGAAGAUGGGGCCUUCAAUAAACUUGCAGAUAAUAGCACCAUGUACAAGGCAAGCCCUGGUACCAAGAUGAUGGUUCCAGAGACACUGCCAGAGGCAUAUGGAAAGGAGUGGAAGUACUUUGUGUCUGACAUGGCAUGCCUUGUCACAAGGAAAGCUAUCAUUCUUGUGAUAAUUAUUUUGACCUACCAGGAACUUUUCUGUGUGCCAGAGCAAUGUAUUCAUUAACAAACAACAGUAGUAACAAAAUAUUUUAUUUGGGAAGAAGAUAAUUGUUGGUACACAAUACAAUUUUAAAGGUCAGCUUUUAAGAAAAACUGUGGACUAUGUUUUCCAGAAAUAAAGAGAUCCAGGCAAAUAUUUACACAAGUGUCCUGAAUCUAUAAGAAAGUGGCUUUCACUGCUAAAGAAUGCUGGGAAAAUUCCUUUGGUAAUUACCAGUUCUCACAGAGAUUACUGUAAAUUCUGCAAAUAUAUCCUUGGGAAUGAUUUUGCAGACCUUUUUGACAUUGUGAUUACAAACACACUAAACUCUAGUUUCUUCUCCCAUUUACCAAGUCAGAGGCCCUUCCCUCUUGGAUAAACCUGUUGGUACUCCCGAGGGAACACCAUUCACCUCUAUGACUGGCAGACAGACACUCAAGGUGAUUUACUUUGGUGACGUAUUGUGUAUUCAGAUACUUUCCCAGCCAGUCACUACACACACUGAGACCCAGUCUUCAUCCU
rnacentral:lncRNA from 1 species